UACUAGAGUAGCACUCGCAUAUCAAUAAGCGGAGGAAAAGAAACUAACAAGGAUUCCCCUAGUAACGGCGAGUGAAGCGGGAAGAGCUCAAAUUUGAAAUCUUAAAGGGUUUCCCUUUACGAAUUGUAGUUUAAAGAAGUGUUUUCUGUUGAGGUUUUGGUAAAAGUUCUUUGGAAUAGGACAUCAUAGAGGGUGAGAAUCCCGUAUUUGACCUUUACUUUCAACUUUGUGAUACACUUUCAAAGAGUCGGAUUGUUUGGGAAUGCAGUCCAAAAUGGGUGGUAAAUUUCAUCUAAAGCUAAAUAUUGGCGAGAGACCGAUAGCGAACAAGUACCGUGAGGGAAAGAUGAAAAGAACUUUGAAAAGAGAGUUAAACAGUACGUGAAAUUGUCAAAAGGGAAGCGUUUGACACCAGUGUUGUUUUUCUGAAAAUCAACUUAAAGAACUGUUUAUGCUAAGCUGUUUAGACUUUAUCAGCUAUCUGUUUAGUUUUGAGCUUUUCUUUAAUGCACUUUUCAGUUAACAAGUCAACAUCAAUUUCUUUUGCUGUAAAAAAGCUUGAGGAAGGUGGCUUGAGAUUCGUCUUAAGUGUUUAUAGCCUCUUGCCUAUGCAGUCGGAGAGAUUGAGGUCUGCAGCGUAGAUCCUUCGGGGCUAAAUGCAUUUGUGCUAAGUUAUAGCAUUUUAUAGACAACUUGUUGACUAUGAUUUGUCUUGUAGCUUACUCGCUUAUGUUAUUUUACCUACGCUUAGGAUGUUGAGCGCAUGUCUCUCUCU
rnacentral:rRNA from 1 species